CAAAGGAACAAGCAAUGGGAAUAGUGAACCACCUAUGGCAACAUCUCAAAGAACUUUUGAUGAUGGUAUUGAAGAGGGAGUAGUACGGACUAAUAGAAAGAGGGUUCAAUGCAGUACACCUGAUCAAGACGACUCAAUGAGUAAUCAAAGAAUUAUAUCAAUGAACAAAAGAAGAUGUGAGGAACAGCGAAAUAUGCAAC